rnacentral:miRNA from 1 species
GCCGUUUUUGUGUAUGUGUGUGUGUGUGUGUGUGUGUAUAUAUAUAUACACACACACACAUACACAAAAACGGCUC